rnacentral:rRNA from 1 species
CCCUUAGAUGGUCUGGGCCGCACGCGCGCUACACUGAUGAAUUCAACGAGCCUAGCCUUGUCCGAAAGGUCCGGGUAAUCUCUGAAACUUCAUCGUGAUGGGGAUAGAUCAUUGCAAUUAUUGAUCUUCAACGAGGAAUUCCUAGUAAGCGCAAGUCAUCAGCUUGCGUUGAUUACGUCCCUGCCCUUUGUACACACCGCCCGUCGCUUGUACCGAUUGGAUGGUCCGGUGAAAUCUUCGGAUAGCUGGUAGUUGGCUUGCCAUCUACUGCUAAAAGUUGCUUAAACCUUAUCAUCUAGAGGAACAAGAAGUCGUAACA